rnacentral:rRNA from 1 species
UACGAAGGGGGCUAGCGUUGUUCGGAAUUACUGGGCGUAAAGGGCGCGUAGGCGGCCUACUAAGUCGGACGUGAAAUCCCCGGGCUCAACCCGGGAACUGCGUCCGAUACUGGAAGGCUUGAAUCCGGGAGAGGGAUGCGGAAUUCCAGGUGUAGCGGUGAAAUGCGUAGAUAUCUGGAGGAACACCGGUGGCGAAGGCGGCAUCCUGGACCGGCAUUGACGCUGAGGCGCGAAAGCCAGGGGAGCAAACGGG